UUUAUUAGUAUACGAAUUCUAUGCAGUUAUAUUGCGCCGUAAUUAAAGUAAUGAAGCAAUUCUCGAGCUAAGUUUUGCGUGAACUGAACCGCAGUAGCAUUGAUUAACCUGCGUCGUCGCACGGAUAUUUGCUUAAAAACUUUCAGAUUAAUUUUACACUGAAUCGAAAUUAGAAUACGAGUCGAGAUUCGGAUAAAAUCAAAUUUCCGUCGAGUCUGUCUUCUUGCCUCGAGAAAUGGAAAAACAAUUGAGGCGAGGAACGAUAUGUAAAACAGAUUUUGGGAGGGGCAUUUCUGUAAAUGGAACCGAAUUUCGGUUUCUCGUACGCCAAUAAAUUGAUCAUAGUCGAAUCAUCUUUUUCACCAAGGAUAUUAUUAUAGUUUAAUCUUUAUCUAAGUAGUCGAUUUCGCAUUCGAAAUAAAAUUGACGAAGCCACGUAUUUGUAUAAUGCAGAUCUGAUUUGAUUUGUAAUCAAAUUAAUACCAUGCAACGAGAGAUCGUUUAAAAUAAUGAGAUACACCGGUCAUGAACGUCAUCGAACGCAACAACAAACGUCCUUUGAUGGUGGUGCGCGAGAACGAAACUGGUGAUAUAAAAAAGAGUGGCGAGAUCACGUGUGAAUCGGAUUCAAGUACCGAAGUGCGAUCAUGUAAAACUGUAUACAGAAAUCGAUGCAAAAAACUCGUAGUUGUAUCUGAUACUUCAUUAAAUAUUAUUUCAUUUACCGAUUCGAAUAAAAAUGAUCGAAAACCAAUUAUACCCAAAUGUUUAACGGAUAAAAAAGAUGAGAAAGGUGAUUUGUCAUUUGUGGAUACCGACGAUGUCGAGUCAAGAAAGGAAGGAAUUUCGAUCAAGAAGAAAAAGAAGAAACGAAGAUAUUUGACGAUAUGUACGAGUAAUUGUAAAUACGACGCGGUGAGACGAGUAGCAGCUCGUUUUGGAAUGAAAGAAGUUACCGAGGAUAGCAGUUGGAAUCUUUACUGGACAGAUUUGAGCGUGAGCGUGGAACGGGCGAAAGAUAUGAAGAGAUAUCAAAAGGUUAAUCAUUUCCCCGGAAUGACGGAAAUCUGUAGAAAGGAUUUAUUAGCUCGAAACUUGAAUCGCAUGUUGAAGCUUUUUCCAAAAGAUUAUAACUUUUUCCCCAAGACAUGGUGUUUUCCCGCAGACCACGGAGAAGCGAUAGCCUAUGCGAAAUUAAGACGCUCGAAAACUUUCAUCAUUAAACCUGAUACAGGGUGUCAAGGACGUGGCAUUUACUUGACAAAAAACUUGAGAGAUGUUAAACCGAGCGAGCGCAUGAUUUGUCAAGUUUACGUGGCCAGGCCCUUCCUGGUAGACGGUUACAAAUUCGAUCUUCGUAUCUAUGCAUUGCUCACCUCCUGCGAUCCUCUUAGAAUUUAUGUGUACAAUGAUGGUCUUGCGAGAUUUGCCACGAGUAGAUAUAAGGAACCCACCGGUCACAACACAUCCAACGUUUUUAUGCACUUGACUAAUUAUGCCGUGAAUAAACAUAGUCGAAUGUAUGUAAUCGACGACGAAAUUGGUAGCAAAAGGAAAAUAUCAACUUUGAAUAAGUGGUUUAAAAUGAAAGACAUCGAUGUGGAUGAAAUGUGGCGUAAAAUCGACGAGAUCAUUAUAAAAACCAUUUUGGCGGCAUAUCCUAUUUUGAAACAUAGUUAUCAUACGUGUUUUCCUACACACGAUAAAACAUACGCGUGUUUCGAGUUACUCGGUUUCGAUGUGUUACUCGAUUGGAAACUAAAACCAUAUCUCUUAGAGGUUAAUCAUUCGCCGAGUUUUCAUACAGAUGCACAAAUUGAUAAGGAUAUAAAGGAGGGUCUCUUGAUGAAUACAUUUGAAAUGCUGAAUUUUCAACAAUGCGACAAGAAAAAAAUUAUCGAAGAAGAUAGAAAGCGAGUUAGGGAUAGGCUGCUUCAGGGAAUAAAUUCUAAGGAUAGCAAUACGAACGAUUCGAUCGGUACGACAUCGAAACCUGAAAAGUUGGAGGAAGAUUAUCUCCAAAAGCAAUUUAAAUGGGAGGAAGAACAUAUGGGCAAUUUCCGUAGGAUCUAUCCAUGUUCCGACUGUGAAAAAUACGAACCAUUUUUUAAGCAAACUAACAUAUCCGUAUAUCAAGAUACUGCGGCAUCUAGAGCUCGAGAGGAAGCAUCGAGGAUCCAAAAGGAAGAAAAUGAGGUGAAAAUGAAGGAACAAGAAAAUAAGAAGAUUUCUGGUAAAUGCAGUGAUUCGAAGUUACAUUCAGAGAGUCCAAACGCGACACAGAAGAAUACAAUAACAAAUGAUCAGGAGAAGAGUAAAUCUGUGAAUAUAUCGAAAAAAAAUAAUUCUUGUUUACAUAUAAAGAAGCAGACGGCUUCAAAUAAUAUUUCACAUUCGUUCGAGCCAGAGAUUAUUUGUGAAUCUGAGGAAAGAGAACGUGUUACAUCAUUAGCACAACGGGAUUUCUUGAUUAAGAGUUAUGGAAUGUUGGAGCAAAUAUAUAUGGCAAUGAAGAAGAACGGUACAUUACGAGCUAUCGACGAGAAAAAAUAUGGGUUGUACGGAAGACUUGGAUAUACAGAUAACAUAAGCAGAAGUGCAUCUAUUUGUAGACACAAAUGUCACAUUCACUCUUCUGCAAUAGAGACAAGAUAUGAACCAUGGAUAAAUCAAUCAUCGCAAUUUUGCCUGAAAGCAAGGUAAAGUGAUGGACGAUAAUUUUGCAUUCAUGAACUUAAAAAACAAAAAAUUUUUAUAUGCGAGAUUUCAAGGUAAUUUGUAACGAAAAACCGGUUUAUAUUCGACCAAACAUACCAAAGAAAUUUUGGAUAAAUGAUAUGAAUUCGAAAGAUCGAAACUGUAGAAUUACGAAAGCUCACGUUGCUCGUACUUUAUCGAAUAUUGUACGCCUUCAUACACUCGAAAAACGACAAAAGUUCUAUCUUAAAUUUUCAUAAGUACGCGUUAUGAUUUAAUGAACAUUCUUACGAGAGAGACAUAAUGUGAAUCGAAUACACAUUUGGACACAAUUGUAUUUCAUGAUUGCUAUUUUAAGUAAUUUCUAACAAUUCCGUUAAUUUAUAAUAUUAAAUUGUACUACUUUUUUUAAAAUUUCAUUAAAAGAAAAAAAAAAGGAAAAA